GACGAACGCUGGCGGCGUGCUUAACACAUGCAAGUCGAACGGUAAGGCCCUUCGGGGUACACGAGUGGCGAACGGGUGAGUAACACGUGGGUGAUCUGCCCUGCACUUCGGGAUAAGCCUGGGAAACUGGGUCUCAUACCGGAUAGGACUCCUGCAUGCAGGGGUGGUGGCGGAAAGCUUUUGCGGUGUGGGAUGGGCCCGCGGCCUAUCAGCUUGUUGGUGGUGUGAUGGCCUACCAAGGCGACGACGGGUAGCCGGCCUGAGAGGGUGCCCGGCCACACUGGGACUGAGAUACGGCCCAGACUCCUACGGGAGGCAGCAGUGGGGAAUAUUGCACAAUGGGCGCAAGCCUGAUGCAGCGACGCCGCGUGAGGGAUGACGGCCUUCGGGUUGUAAACCUCUUUCAGCACCGACGAAGCGCAAGUGACGGUAGGUGCAGAAGAAGGACCGGCCAACUACGUGCCAGCCGCCGCCGUAA
rnacentral:rRNA from 1 species